AGAGUUUGAUCCUGGCUCAGGAUGAACGCUGGCGGCGUGCUUAACACAUGCAAGUCGAGCGAAGCAGUUAAGUUGAUUUCUUCGGAUUGAUUCUUAACUGACUGAGUGGCGGACGGGUGAGUAACGCGUGGGUGACCUGCCCCAUACCGGGGGAUAACAGCUGGAAACGGCUGCUAAUACCGCAUAAGCGCACAGAGCUGCAUGGCUCGGUGUGAAAAACUCCGGUGGUAUGGGAUGGGCCCGCGUCUGAUUAGGCAGUUGGCGGGGUAACGGCCCACCAAACCGACGAUCAGUAGCCGGCCUGAGAGGGCGACCGGCCACAUUGGGACUGAGACACGGCCCAAACUCCUACGGGAGGCAGCAGUGGGGAAUAUUGCACAAUGGGGGAAACCCUGAUGCAGCGACGCCGCGUGAGCGAAGAAGUAUUUCGGUAUGUAAAGCUCUAUCAGCAGGGAAGAUAAUGACGGUACCUGACUAAGAAGCCCCGGCUAACUACGUGCCAGCAGCCGCGGUAAUACGUAGGGGGCAAGCGUUAUCCGGAUUUACUGGGUGUAAAGGGAGCGUAGACGGCAAGGCAAGUCUGAUGUGAAAACCCAGGGCUUAACCCUGGGACUGCAUUGGAAACUGUCUGGCUCGAGUGCCGGAGAGGUAAGCGGAAUUCCUAGUGUAGCGGUGGAAUGCGUAGAUAUCGGGAGGAACACCAGUGGCGAAGGCGGCCUACUGGGCACCAACUGACGCUGAGGCUCGAAAGUGUGGGUAGCAAACAGGAUUUGAUACCCUGGUAGUCCACACCGUAAACGAUGAUUACUAGGUGUUGGAUGAUUGACCCCUUCAGUGCCGCAGUUAACACAAUAAGUAAUCCACCUGGGGAGUACGACCGCAAGGUUGAAACUCAAAGGAAUUGACGGGGGCCCGCACAAGCAGUGGAGUAUGUGGUUUAAUUCGACGCAACGCGAAGAACCUUACCAAGCCUUGACAUCCUGCGACGAUGCUGGAAACAGUAUUUUCCUUCGGGACGCAGAGACAGGUGGUGCAUGGUUGCCGUCAGCUCGUGUCGUGAGAUGUUGGGUUAAGUCCCGCAACGAGCGCAACCCUUAUGGUCAGUUACUACGCAAGAGGACUCUGGCCAGACUGCCGUUGACAAAACGGAGGAAGGUGGGGAUGACGUCAAAUCAUCAUGCCCUUUAUGACUUGGGCUACACACGUACUACAAUGGCGUUAAACAAAGAGAAGCAAGACCGCGAGGUGGAGCAAAACUCAGAAACAACGUCCCAGUUCGGACUGCAGGCUGCAACUCGCCUGCACGAAGUCGGAAUUGCUAGUAAUCGUGGAUCAGCAUGCCACGGUGAAUACGUUCCCGGGCCUUGUACACACCGCCCGUCACACCAUGAGAGCCGGGGGGACCCGAAGUCGGUAGUCUAACCGCAAGGAGGACGCCGCCGAAGGUAAAACUGGUUAUUGGGGUGAAGUCGUAACAAGGUA
rnacentral:rRNA from 1 species